ensembl:lncRNA
GCUUCAGCCGUCUCCGACUCUGUUCAACUCCAUAGACGUCAGUCCGCCAGGCUCCCUCAUCCCUGGGAUUCUCCAGCCUCUCCACAGAAAUACAAAAGACGUGGCUUCUAAAGAAGUACUAUUGGCUUAAGUCUAGAUCCCGAGUAGAUCUUGUGGUUAGAGAAGCAAAAAGAAGAGAAAAAAACUGCAUGAGUGAAAUUUCCUGGUAAUUCUGACCUGGGCUUCGCUUUGGAUGAGCCAGGUGGAGGAACGGGUGAGAAGCUGUCUGAAGAGUGAACUUGGGAAGGAGACAGUGGAGGACAGCCGACCUCUAAGGUCGCGUGAUCCCCCCAACACCUCGAUGUGCUGAACCUGGACAGAUGUCCCUGUAGGACAGACGUACCU